ACUCCUGCGGGAGGCAGCAGUGGGGAAUAUUGCACAAUGGGCGCAAGCCUGAUGCAGCCAUGCCGCGUGUAUGAAGAAGGCCUUCGGGUUGUAAAGUACUUUCAGCGGGGAGGAAGGCGAUAAGGUUAAUAACCUUGUUGAUUGACGUUACCCGCAGAAGAAGCACCGGCUAACUCCGUGCCAGCAGCCGCGGUAAUACGGAGGGUGCAAGCGUUAAUCGGAAUUACUGGGCGUAAAGCGCACGCAGGCGGUCUGUCAAGUCGGAUGUGAAAUCCCCGGGCUCAACCUGGGAACUGCAUUCGAAACUGGCAGGCUAGAGUCUUGUAGAGGGGGGUAGAAUUCCAGGUGUAGCGGUGAAAUGCGUAGAGAUCUGGAGGAAUACCGGUGGCGAAGGCGGCCCCCUGGACAAAGACUGACGCUCAGGUGCGAAAGCGUGGGGAGCAAACAGGAUUAGAAACCCGGGUAGUCCC
rnacentral:rRNA from 1 species